ACCUUUCCACUUACAGGAAACCCAGGAUAGUGUCUCUGGCAUGUGUGAAUGGACAGCAGCAUCGCUGAGCCCAGUUUAGGAUGCUCUUAACACCAGUCUGGGGACACUACAGGAGUACACCCGAACCAUGCAGGAAAGCACGUGGAAGACUGGAGAGGUGGGAGGUUCGAAAGAGUCUACCGAGAACCAGCAAACAGAAAUCAAGUCCCACCCAGAUAAGGCAUCGGGCUUCCGGGAAGGCAGAUAAGCCUUUUCACAGGAGCUCACUGACACCCCAUCUCUUUUUUGAGGACUAAGUUUUGAAAUGCAGGAGCCACCAGACAAAGGACCUUGGCAAAUGACACCACCAAGAUGUGCCGCUGUCAUGAGACAUCAGAUGUGGGACUACAGGAAGGUCACUGCAAGGGACCCGAUUAGGACUCCGAUAGAAACAAACUCAAUAAAUGAAAGCAUUAAGAAACCUGAA